CUUUAAGAUGAGAACAUGUCGGAAUUGAAUAUAUCUGCAUUUGGGCUAUUAAAGCAAAUGAGAUGAACUUUUAAUGGGAAACUGAGCCUUUUCCUCGAAUAUUCAGGAUAAAAACAUACCGUCCUGAGGAUGGGCUCAUUUUCUCAUAUCUCUAACUAGUGAGUCUGGGACAUAUAAAUGAAAAAAAAAAAGUCUUCAGAAAAAUUCCCUUACACUACUCAUAACAAAAAAAGCCAAGACAUGAAUGUUCUGCUUCUUAGAUAUUACAGCAAACUAUUAGAAUCAUAAUUUUCUAAUACUUUAGGAGGUGAACACAUCCUCUCACUAUGAACUCAUAAGUCUACUAUAUAAAUAAUUUACUCUGGCAGCUUAUGUAUGAUUCAGACUGUAAUAUUUAUAAAAGAAUGCUGCAAUUUUCUUCUUACAAAAAACUUAAUAAAAAAUAAAUUAUUGUUAGAUAAACCCCAAAGCAAAAUACCUAUUUGCCUUUUAGAACAUUACAUGAAUAUCUGAUAGACACAUGUAUGUCAUAAUUAAACACGACACAAAACAAUAUUGCCAAGUUGUCUGUUAGUUGAGCAUAGCACAUUCAAUGUAACCACUUUAGAUGAGAGCUCAUAUCUAUGUCUCUACAGCACUGAGAGUGGAGUGCCAGGCACAGGGGUAAGUGUGAAAUGUGCAAAUGGAAUUAGAACACGUUGCUUCCAGACUUUUCCGAAUAUGUGCUGCUCUUUGUAGUUAAAGUCUUGGAUUGGGAAUUUGGUACCAAAAGAACCAGAAAUUCACAUUGGAAAAUAAGCUGAGUGAUAGGUGUAUGGUGUUUCCUUCCAAUUUGGAUGCUGCCUGCUGGCCUUUAUUUCUCUCCAAGAACGCUUUUCUAAUGGAGGAGAAAAUGCUAGAACAAUUCUAUGUGGACACAUCUAAAGCAGCACAAAAAGGAUUACGAUAGCCACACAAGCCUAAGGCUUGAGAUUUGUAUUUUCUUCAAAUAAUAUAACUUAGAUGUGCCAGUAAUUAGAUUCAUGACAGAACAAAAAGGAAGUCAUUUCUUAAAUGUAUGGAUGGUGUUGUAUGUAGAAUUUCUGCAGAAGAAUUAUUAAUUCAUCUGUACAUUGAGUUAUAUGACACAAUACUCCAAAUGUGUAAUUCCAUGGACCUGAGACCUAGCAUUCCAGUGUGGGCUUACGGAGAAUGGUGUCAUGGUAGAGUUUCUGACAGCUAAUGGGUACAUCAGAGCACAAAUGUCAUCCAACUGGGGCACUAAAGUCUUGCAUCAUGUAUGUAAGCAACAGCGUUGCAAUGUGUAGCCAGACAAAGGUAUUCGCAGAUCAAUAUAAAAUCAAAUGAAACCUCUAACUCUGGAUGAUAGGGUUUCCUGGUUGUACCAGAUACUUGAAUCAAUUUUGGGAGUAAGGAUUAAAGGAAGAGCAGUGUGGUAUCUUCAGCCACAUCAAAGGCUAUUCCAGAAUCCAGCUAGGUAUCCCAGUAAGCAAGUGGGCUGGGCCCCUUGGUGGGUCCACUUGCUUCUGGUGGGAGCUCUCAGACAGGUUUGGCUGAUUCACUUGACCGAGAGUGAUCCUAUGCUAUCAGGGUCCCCCGGAUUAGACGUGGACCUACAACAGAUUCCAAAGCCAGUCUGGGUGAGGGAGAACUUGCUUGUGCCCAUUGUGUCCGAAUCCCACUCUCCUAAAGUUUGAAAGCGGGGAUAGAGACACCUGCUUGGUGUUUUCACUUUGUUAAACCCAGGAAGCUCACAGCCAAGUGAACCUAUGACCUAACAGACCAGCCCACAGAGGGCAUCAAGGCUUCCUGUGGGCCACCCUAUUGCCUUACUACUUACUGUAAGCAGAUCCAUUCACUCCAAUUAAAGCUUCAAGUGAUUCCAGGAUGCCUUCCGCCACCCUGUUUCAUUUCCUUUGUCCUUCAUUGCUCAUCUCCCUGUUCAGAAGAUGGUUUCAGAUUUUAAGAGGAAAUGAUCUGUCUCCCAUUAUGAUGGGUCACUGGGUUAUGGCCUGGGGAAUAUUCUUAUCCCUUCUAGAAAUGGGUGCAUCUUUCCAGAAAGUGAACCUCACUGGGGACUGUUCUGUGACACUUACCCAUGUUUUCAAAGAUUCUAUUUAUAGCAUUUGCAGCUACUAUAGGUAGCCAUCUUCACUUCUCCUCAUACACUCUUCCAGAAAGGAUGACGGGCACAGGACACGAGAGCUGAGACAGUGUGUCUGCCAUCAGCAGCUAAUGAUUAGAUGAUGAAGAGAAUUCCUGCCAUUCCUGUCUCCAGGGCAACAGAGGGGGCCUGACCAUGUAGUAUUGACAUGACAUCAGGAGAGUUGCUACUGUAAUAAAGGCUUGUCCACGGAUUGUCCUUGCCCCGCCAUCCAGUGCUGUCACCUCAUUUCACAGGAAUGGCUGCAGCGCAACAGCAGUUACUCUCCAUUUCACCACACCGCUGCACGGCACAGCCACUUUGUAGUUGCCUGCCUGGCUGAGAAUAUUGGGCCCUAGCGUGAAUCAGGCAUGCAUUACUUUUCACAAGCAUUAACACAGCUGUUGAAGAAUAAGCCUGUUGCUUUAGAGAAGAUGGGUACUUUCCUGUUUCCAGCAUCCAACAUUCCAUUUCAUUUGAUCCUGGGAACUGCCACACUAGGCUAAUGGACAACACUGUGAAUAACGACUUAGUAUACUGGCUUCCAAAAAUCCUCAUGCAAGUGUCUGAUGUUCGAGUCUUCCUCAUUACAUCUCCCUUCUCUCCCUGGCUUCCCAAUAAGACUCACCACUGAGCUGCUGCAGCUCACCGCUCUGUGUACAGCACCUGAACAAUGAAUAUACAUUGGUGUGAGCUGGGUUUGAACCUCAUUCUUCUCUCUUCUAAUUUUGUGACCUUAGAUAAUUCAUUUCACCACUCCAUGUCGUCGUUUCCUUAUCUGUAAAGCGCAGAAAGCAAUAUCUUACGGAUGCUGUGAAGAUUAAAUAAGACGAUGCAAAGUGCUUGCCAGGGUGAUGAUAUUGGAACACGACAAUCUCUUUUGUCAUAUAUGAUCCAGUGACUAAACAAGUGGUAGCUGUUUAUGUACGCUGUUUCCUUCUUUGGGGUAUUUUGAAGUGACAUAGGGUCUACUAAUUGGGCCACAGUUUGAUGUCUAUUUAUUUGAACUUUUGACAGGCUUGAGGAAUUGGUCAGAAAAUAUUUUCAUGACUAGUCUGGGUGAUUUUUCGGUGGGAAAAGACACAGCAUUUUUGGCUUGAAUUGCAUGAUUGGCAUCUUUUGAAUGACAGCCCGUUCUUUCUCUUAACAUCCUAGGCCCAUGUGAAUAUGCAGAUGCUGUCUCUCCACAGUGUUCAUACAUUACAGCAGUGCCUCUCCUCUGCAUGCAUCGAAGUAUCAAACUUGUGAGCUGGGAACCUGAGAGCAGCACCUGCUUGUUCCAGGUCCCGUUUCUUCAUUUCUAACUACCGUGUGAGUUUGGAAUAAAUCAAAUGAUGGUCCGCAGACCAAAUCCAGCCUCUUUCUGUGGCCCAUGAGCUAAGAGUUGUUUUUACAUUUUUAAGUGAUUGAAACAAAAUCGGAAGAAGAAUAAUAUAUCAUGACUUGUGAAAAUUAUAUGAAACUCAAAUUUUGGCAUCCAUAAAUAAAAUUUUAUUGGAACACAGACAUUCAUUCAUUUAAGCGUCAUCUAUGGCUGAUUUCGGGCUAUGACAGCAGAGCUGAGAAGUUGCAACAGAGACUGUAUGGCCUAGGAAGUCUAAAAUAAUCGCUAUCUGGCCCCAAACAGAAAAAGUUUGCUGACCCCUGGAAUAAGUCACCAAAGCCUCUGUCUCCAUCUGCAAAGUAAAAACGACAAAAUCCUAUAAAAUGCCACAGCAAACUCAAUCAACAAUAAAUGUCACUAAUAACUGGCUUGCCACUUGUCAGGUGUUUCAGUUGGGGGAAUUACCUUCUUUAAACGUCAGUUUUGCCAUCUACAAAAUGAGGAAAAUAAUCCUACUUCUCUUGUAGAAUGAGAUAAUGCAUACAUGUUUCUGACACAAAGAAAGUGCACAAUAAAUAAUAAUUUUUAUUAUUUUAAAAUAAUUAUUAUUAUUCCUCAGAAACCAGUCCAUAUGCAAAGAGUUGAGACCAUUUGGAGAUUUCAGGAUCAUGGAAUUUUAGCCCCAAAUGAGCCUUAGCACGUCCCAGCUCUCUCUAGGAUUUCAGAGGAGCAGAUGCACAGAGGCGGCCCAGGGCGUUGGGCAAACCUUCCUUGGAGAGGAGGUAGCAGUCACACCCGGAAUCAAGAUUCCUGACUUCGCUGUGUUGACUCCUAGAAUUCAGUUCUCAGGAACCCUCCCACUCUGGUCUAUCUGUGGCUCUUCUACCCCAGAAUUCUGUUCUGAUGGUGCCUGAGGACCGGUCCUUUGCUUAAAUGAAAAUUUUUCUCCUAAAAGUUUCAAGUGGCAUGGCCCUUUUUCAAUGGGGCAGAUGUUCAUACUUAGACAUUAUCUGUAUAUCUGCAGCUUUGGAAGAUUUUGAGAUUCAUUCUCUCUCUUUCACACAUACACACACAGUCACACACAAACACUCACUAGUGUGCAAAGAGUGGCUCAGGGUGAAACGCUAUGUACUGUCUAAAGUAAGGAAAGGGCUUCAUGUACUGUAUUUCUCCUUGGCCUCCUGAUCACCUUAGGAUGAUUGGGUAGGGCCAGGCUGCUGCUUUUAUUCUGGGCUACUAACAGAUAGAAUGUGUCUGCAUUUUUCUAUGACCUUCAGCAUUUCACACACAUUUCACUGUUAAACUUGGAUGGUUCUAUGGUGUGAAAUGGUAGAGUUUGGGCAUACUUGUCAUUCUCAAUAUUCUCUUGUUCAAACAAAGGGAGAAAAUCAGCAAUGAUUGCCAAGAAAUAUGGAAAGUUGCCCAUCCAGGUGAGAGCUGAGGCCCCUCUCUGAGCUGAGCACAGGACAGCUCAGUAGUAAGCAAACUGCGGAAUGGCAGAAGUAGCCUGGAAUUGCUGUUAGAAUGUCCACUAUCUGUAUUUAUCCUCUGCCAAGCUUCAGCUAUUCAAGAGCCUCAGGUUUUGAAUGUAUUUAGGAUAUAAUCCUACUGUGAAGGGCAUUCGGAACAACUCACUCCUUUCAAGUUGCUCAAUCAGGCUUUGCCUCUUAUGGUUGCUCCAAAUGGAGCCAUUAGUGGUGUGAAGAGUUACAACACUUUCCGUGGUGUAAGCAUAAGCUUGACCCCCCUGAUGUGUUAGAAGUCGGUGGGCUUUUUCUAUCAAUUCUAAAUUAAAGUUAUGUUAAGAAUGAUGGGAAAACAGGAUUGGAACUGGAAAGCAAUGGCUAUUAGCAUGACUGAACAGUGUGACAUUGUCCUGCUGAAUCAGGAGAAAUUUCACAACUGGGAGCAACUCUGGGGUUUGCUCCUCUAGCUGACAAAAUGAGCCUUUUUCCCCCAGGAGGACUUCCCAGCAUAUUUGUAAUGCUUACAAAUUGCCACUUUCUAUCUUCUGUAUUCCUAAUAUUUUCCUUUUAAAAUUACCUCUGGGAGGCUCCUACUGGUUCUGUUUAAAGAGCAUUUCCUUCCCACCCUUAGGAGUUGAACAAAAGUAACAUCAAGUGCCCUUCCAAGUAUUUAUUUUUCAUUACUGUUAUGUAUGUAGCGCUCAGCAAUGGAAAUGAGACUGGUGUUCAAGCUACUAACAAAGAAAUUAAAAACUUGGAUUGAGUGGUGCCAUUCAUUUUCAGCAAUAGAGAUAUAAGAGCCAAAUGAGUGAAAUCAUGUGUCUAGGACCGCAAAUGCUCUGGAGCAUCACAGAUAUCCUUGUUUAAGUGAAUGCUGCCUGUCAAUGGAUUAACAUAUGAAGUCAACUGGUGAAAUAUGAACAGGAUGUUUUAAUGUAACACAGCAAACAGCAGGAGACUGCAACUAUCGGCAAUUGAAAAAUUACAAGUUAGGCUCAAGGUAUUUGUCCAAGGAGGCACAAUCUUCAUCUCAGAGAAACAGAUGAAAGCAUCACCCUAAUGAUCACAAGUUGUCAGGCCUGUAGAAGUUAAUACUAACCAAGAAACAAACAAACAAAAAAGCCAACCAGAAAAAAAAGAAGAAAAGAAAAGAAA